rnacentral:rRNA from 1 species
AUCCUGGCUCAGAUUGAACGCUGGCGGCAGGCCUAACACAUGCAAGUCGAGCGGUAGAGAGGUGCUUGCAUCUCUUGAGAGCGGCGGACGGGUGAGUAAUGCCUAGGAAUCUGCCUAGUGGUGGGGGAUAACGUUCGGAAACGGACGCUAAUACCGCAUACGUCCUACGGGAGAAANCGGGGGGAUCUUCGGACCUCGCGCCAUUAGAUGAGCCUAGGUCGGAUUAGCUAGUUGGUGAGGUAAUGGCUCACCAAGGCGACGAUCCGUAACUGGUCUGAGAGGAUGAUCAGUCACACUGGAACUGAGACACGGUCCAGACUCCUACGGGAGGCAGCAGUGGGGAAUAUUGGACAAUGGGCGAAAGCCUGAUCCAGCCAUGCCGCGUGUGUGAAGAAGGUCUUCGGAUUGUAAAGCACUUUAAGUUGGGAGGAAGGGUAGUAACCUAAUACGUUGCUACUUUGACGUUACCGACAGAAUAAGCACCGGCUAACUUCGUG